rnacentral:tRNA from 1 species
GCUUUCGUGGUGUAGUGGUUAGCACGUUCGGCCCGUAUUCCACAGGUCUGUGGUUCGAGUCCCGGCGAGGGUA